AGUGAACGCUGGCGGUAGGCCUAACACAUGCCAGUCGAACGGCAGCACAGUAAGAGCUUGCUCUUACGGGUGGCGAGUGGCGGACGGGUGAGGAAUACAUCGGAAUCUACUUUUUCGUGGGGGAUAACGUAGGGAAACUUACGCUAAUACCGCAUACGACCUACGGGUGAAAGCAGGGGAUCUUCGGACCUUGCGCGAUUGAAUGAGCCGAUGUCGGAUUAGCUAGUUGGCGGGGUAAAGGCCCACCAAGGCGACGAUCCGUAGCCGGUCUGAGAGGAUGAUCAGCCACACUGGAACUGAGACACGGUCCAGACUCCUACGGGAGGCAGCAGUGGGGAAUAUUGCACAAUGGGCGCAAGCCUGAUCCAGCCAUACCGCGUGGGUGAAGAAGGCCUUCGGAUUGUAAAGCCCUUUUGUUGGGAAAGAAAAGCAGCAGGUUAAUACCCCGCUGUUCUGACGGUACCCAAAGAAUAAGCACCGGCUAACUUCGUG
rnacentral:rRNA from 1 species